rnacentral:rRNA from 1 species
CCUACGGGGGGCAGCAGUGAGGAAUAUUGGUCAAUGGGCGCGAGCCUGAACCAGCCAAGUAGCGUGAAGGAGGACUGCCCUACGGGUUGUAAACUUCUUUUAUAAAGGAAUAAAGUGAGGCACGUGUGCCUGUUUGUAUGGACUUUAUGAAUAAGGAUCGGCUAACUCCGUUCCAGCAGCCGCGGUAAUACGGCGGGUCCGUGCGUUAUCCGGGUUUAAUGGGUUUAAAGGGAGCGUAGAUGGGUCUUUAAGUCAGUUGUGAAAGUUUGCGGCUCAACCGUAAAAGUGCAAUUGAUACUGGCAGCCUUGAGUACAGUUGAGGUAGGCGGAAUUCGUGGUGUAGCGGUGAAAUGCUUAGAUAUCACGCAGAACUCCGAUUGCGAAGGCAGCCUACUAAACUGCCACUGACAUUGAUGCUCGAAAGUGUGGGUAUCAAACAGGAUUAGAUACCCUAGUAGUC